UGCCCUGAUAAGGGUGGCGUCAGCUCAGCCUGCUGCUGCCUUUUCUCUCCCCCAGGGACAGGCUGCAGGGGGAAGCAGGGGUUCCAGGCCCCCCAACCUUACGCACCAAGCCCAGAUCAGUGGGGGUGAGGCGCGGGGCAGAUGGCAGCCUUGGGUAUGUGGGGGGCCGUUUUUCUCAGACGCUCUGGAGUUCCCUGUCCUGACACAGGCUGAGCUGCAUGCCAGUAUUACCAGCUGCACGGUUCUGGGAGACACCCUCCAAGAGAUGCUGGGUGGGAGAAACAGCCCAGGAAUGCCUGUUAAACACCAGAGGUCAGCUGGCGGGGGCCAUGGGAGCCACGUGGGGUGGGAUGGGAUCUGUCUCUCAUCGGAGCAGCUGAAUAAUGGAUCUGUCGUCCCCCAGGGUGGGGCACAGAGCCAGGGAUCAGACAGGGCCUUUCCCUGCUCACUGCUGGAGACAAGCUUCCGGACAGCCCCACCCCGAACCUAUCUCCACCAAAAGCUCUGCCCUUGGGAUUUCUUAUCACAGGGCGCGGUCAGUGUAGUGCUGGCAAUCAGAAGACCCCGCCUGUGACCUCAGGGCAAGUCACGCCCUGGUGCCGUGCCUCAGUUUACCCAGCUGUCCAGUGUGGAUCAUCCUGACAGCCGUGGGAAGACAGGAGCAGGAGGUGGCAAGGGACAUGUGAGGCAAUGCUGACUCCAGGCAGUGCUACCAGUCCUGAUGCUCUGGGCCUCAGUUUCCCCCUCUGCACAACGGGGAGAAUGAUACUCAGCUCCUUGGUAAAGUGAUCUGAGAUCUACAGAUGAAACGUGCUAGGUGCUGCUUUCACCAUCUCCGGCUGCAUCCCACCCUGGCAGGCAAUGCCCUGGCAUUAGUGCUACCAGCCGGUGUCCCCUCCCGCCUGGGCUCCAGCGCUGCCAUAAAUCUGGGCAUGAAGACCUCAGAGAGCUCCAGCGUGCCGAAUGCUGCACCACAGGCUCCCAUGAGCUCCCCCCGUCAGCUCCCCGUGAGCAGGUCCUGCUGUCGCCAACCUCAAGAGAGCAAAAAACCUGAGUCAGACCCGAAAACAUGAGGAGAUUGGCUCCAAAAACAUGGGAUAUUUUUGUUUUUAAAGUA